rnacentral:rRNA from 1 species
GACGAACGCUGGCGGCGUGCUUAACACAUGCAAGUCGAACGGAAAGGCCCUGCUUUUGUGGGGUGCUCGAGUGGCGAACGUGUGAGUAACACUUGAGUAACCUGCCCUUGACUUUGUUAUAACUUCAGGAAACUGGGGCUAAUACCGGAUAGGAGCUCCUGCUGCAUUGUGGGGGUUGGAAAGUUUCGGCGGUUGGGGAUGGACUCGCGGCUUAUCAGCUUGUUGGUGGAGUAGUGGCUUACCAAGGCUUUGACGGGUAGCCGGCCUGAGAGGGUGACCGGCAACAUUGGGACUGAGAGACGGACCAGAAUGCAAAGGGAGGCAGCAGUGGGGAAUAUUGCAGAAUGGGCGGAAGCCUGAUGCAGCAACGGCGCGUGCGGGAUGACGGCCUUCGGGUUGUAAACAGAUUUAGCAUGUGACGAAGAGUGAGUGACGGUAAUGGGUAAAGAAGCACCGGCUAACUACGUG